rnacentral:sRNA from 1 species
UCGAAAAUUAAAAAGUGUAGA